rnacentral:tRNA from 1 species
GUCCGGGUGGCGGAAUGGUAGACGCGCUAGCUUGAGGUGCUAGUGCCUAUUUUUACAGGCGUGCGGGUUCAACUCCCGCUCCGGACA